rnacentral:rRNA from 1 species
UACGGGGGGGGCAAGCGUUGUUCGGAAUUACUGGGCGUAAAGGGCUCGUAGGCGGCCAACUAAGUCGGAUGUGAAAUCCCCAGGCUCAACUUGGGAACUGCAUCCGAUACUGGAUAGCUUGAAUUCGGGAGAGGGAUGCAGAAUUCCAGGUGUAGCGGUGAAAUGCGUAGAGAUGUGGAGGAAUACCGAUGGCGAAGGCAGCCCCCUGGGAUAACACUGACGCUCAUGCACGAAAGCGUGGGGAGCAAACAGG